GGGGUCGACUGGUUUUGACAGCAAGUCGAAUUGAACAGUAAGCACGUCGAGCAUGGUACUUUUUGCUCGUAAAUCCAAGGGUACAAACUUUUACACGGCGAAAAUAACUACGCUUUAGCUGCAUAAUCUGAAUUAUAGUACGAUUAGCCACGUCCCUACAAGGUAGGGAAGCUGGAUUCUCCUUGAAAGCCUUGGUUUGUGGCGUUCUGUUUAGGGGAACCGUAAAAAUAAACCUAGAUCUCCAUGAGCUUCGGGUGGAUUUCAAAAAUUAAGAAGAUAAGUGUUGAGUGGUUGUUCCUGACCUAGCUUAACAUCGAAAAUCUAAUCAGGAAAUAAGCGUGUAGAAAGCUCUUUAGUUGCUUGUUUGGACCCGGGUUCGAUUCCCGGCGACUCCACAA
rnacentral:tmRNA from 1 species